AUGGGAAUAGGGGUGGAGCUAUGGGAAAGGGGCGGGGCUAUGGGGUUUUGGUGGGGGUGUGGGGCUGGCGAUGGGGCUGUGGGGCUGGGCUAUGGGGCAGAGCUGAGGUUAUGGGGCAGAGCUGUGAGGUGGAGUGAUCUACGGGGCAGAGCUUUGGGGCUGACUAGGGCUGUGGGGCUGCGCUAUGGGGCAGAAGGAAGGAUCUAUGGGGCAGAGCUGUGGGGCAGCCUGGAUCUAUGGGGCAGAGCUGUGGGUCAGCCUGUUUUUAUGGGGCAGGACCUCUCGCCAUCGCCGUGGGGCAGCGCCGUGGGGCAGGAGGCAGCUGCCAUCGAACUGCUGCAGGAAGCACUGGGUGAGAGCGGGGAGCACCUAUGGGGCAGCCCCACACUUAUGGGGCAGACCCCCAUGUGCCGACCCACGUGUCCUUUGUUCCCCACAGAUUCGGACGAGGCGGAAGCGCCUGGGGAUGCGGUGCUGCGGGCGCUGCGGGAUCGACGGCGGGCGCUGCGGGGGAUGCUGAGAGCCGUGGAGACGCUGUUGGCCACCUCCGGACCCGAAGUUUUGGGACCACAGUAAAAGCCACGCCUCCGCGCUUUUGUCCAAUCAGACUUCCGCUGCCAGCGACGCGCCAAACCUGCAAUGCAACGUUACUUCCGCUUUAAGCCACGCCCCCUGGGCUACAUCUCAUACUUCCGCUUUAAGCCCCGCCUCCAGACCCUACAGGUAGCGCACUUCCGCUCCAAGCCACGCCCCCUGCGUUUCAUCCCUCCCACUUCCGUUUCCCCAGCCCAACAUCUCCCCCACUUCCGCUGCAAGCCCCGCCCCCCCAGCCUACACUUCCCAUCAGCCCCCUCGCCGCCGCCGCCAUUUUGUCUCCUCCCCGCCUUCCCGCCCGCCGCCAUCUUGUCCCCGCCCCUUUCCCUCUCAUCCCCUCAUGGUGCCGCGAUGGCGGCGGUGGAGGCGGAGCUGCAGCGUUGGGCCCGGCACGAAAUGGGGCUCCCGGACGGUCCCGCACC
rnacentral:lncRNA from 1 species